rnacentral:lncRNA from 1 species
CACGGUAAGGAGUUGGGAUUUCGGGAUGCAGAUGUCACAUCGCCGUGCAAACGACUCCCGCAGUAGCACUUUAUCGGGAUUUCGACCUGCAUCUUUUAUCUCUUUUAGAAAAGCGUCUCUCGGAGGAGAUUGCCCUCAAUAGACCCGCCAUAAAAACAUUUUAGUAUUGCUCUUGUGCUUCUGUGCAUCCCACUGCGAAGGGGUCCCAGUGGUCCCUUGGGAAUACAAGGAGUUGUGAGAAGUUACACAACUGGCCACCAGACUAAUCCACUCCCUCUACCUUCCCGCGAGUACCUCCCCCUUCUGCUCUUUUCUUCAAUAGCAGCCCUUUCUCAAAAUCUCAGGUUACUUUGCUAAAGAGUUCUCAGCCUUAUAGUUUCUGCCCUUGUCUCUGCCUCCAGCUCCUUAAGAGCCACCCAACCCCAGCGAUUGGAUUGGGCAGCCCGUCUUGACACACCACUGUGCUGAGUGCUUGAGGACGUGUUUCAACAGAUGGUUGGGGUUAGUGUGUGUCAUCACACUCGAGUGGGGAUUAGGGGAGAGAGGCAGCCUUGCUGGAGCUGUGUGGUCUUCCCCAAGUGUGAGCUGCAAGCAAAAGAAGAAGUACCUAGCUCUGGGGGAGAAACGGGAAGAAUCGUUUCCAGCAGCUCAGAAGGAAAAAUAAAACCCCACACUUUGUUCAGAUCUUCACAGUAACUGUCACAUACCUCUGGUGCUUAUGAAUUAUUGGCCUCCUACUUGUGAAAGAAAUCUAACACUGUCCUCACCAGUUACAGUGUGUCCUGUGAGAAGCUCAAUACGCCAGCUUCAGCACACAGAGCUUCAGACUUCCAGCAAAGUGAAGAUGCAGCACUGCAAGCUGCAGAGCCUGCUGCUGUCAGUGCCUAACAAACCUAUCCCUCCCUCUUUGUGGUAUCAUUGGAUCACAGAUCUGAAGAUCUAUAGGAAACCAUAUUUUUUUAAGAAAGUGCAUAGCUAAAUACACAUGCCCAACUUGUUAUUGUUUUACUAGGGGGAAAAAACCCUAACUAGUUUCUCUAGCACUGCCAGAAAAUUGUGCUGAGAAACUAGGAACAGCAAAUCAUGUUUUUCCUUCCUUCAUAAUGAUGGGGCUGUUUAAAAGACAAUGCCCACGGGGCAGUCCAGCUUCUUGUCAAAAUGUAAUCUACUGUUCCAGAUGGUAAACAUUCAAAGACAUAUUUAUGGUGACUUCUACAUACCUCCCUUUGACAUUGGCUUUUUUUUUUUUCCCUGAGAGCACUUGUGCUGGGUACACACAUGAAGUUCCCAUUAGCAUCCUA